rnacentral:rRNA from 1 species
AUGCCGCCGCACGCCGGCGUCGACCUCCCGCGCGCCAUCUGCGCCGCCGUCAUCAAAUGCUCCUUCAAGCCGCACGCCCACCUCCUCGCCGCCGACCCGUCCCUCCUCGCCGCCGUCCUCGGCCGCCUCUCCCCGCUGCCCUCCGCGGCCCUCUCAUUCUUCCGCGCGCUGCCGCCCCCGCACCCGCUCGACGCCUCCCUCGCCCUCGUCCGCCUCCUCGCCGCGCACCCGCGCCACCACCCCGUCGCCCGCUCCCUCCUGCGCGACCUCUCCCUCCGCCACCCGCUCUCCUCCCCGCUCAUCCUCCCCUCGCUCCUCGCCGAGCCCCACGUCCCGAGCUGGCUCCUCCUCGCGCUCGCCCAGGGCGGCCGCGCCGGGGACGCCGUCCGGGUCUUCGACCACAUGCGCGCGGCGCGCCUCGCGCCCGACGCCCACGCCUGCACCGCGCUCCUCACCUCGCUCGCCAGGGCCCGGAUGACGGCCACCGCGCGCAGGGUGUUCGACGAAAUGGGCCUGGCCGGGGUCGCCAUGAACACGCACGUCUACAACGCCAUGCUGCACGUGUGCCUCAAGGCCGGGGACGCCCUGCGCGCCGAGGCGCUGAUGACGAAGAUGGAUGCCGCCGGCAUCCCGCUGGACCUCUUCUCCUUUAACACCGCCAUCGCGCUGUAUGUCAGGAAGGGGAUGCAGUACGAGGCGAUGUGCGUGCGGGACCGGAUGGCGAACGACGGUGUCGAGGCGGACAUCGUCACCUGGAACACCGUGAUCCACGGGAUGUGCAAGGAGGGGAGGAUGAAGGAGGCAGCCCAGCUCCAUAGAGACAUGGUGGCGGCAGGCGUAGAGCCGGACACGGUGACGUACACCACGCUUGUGGAUGGGUAUUGCCGGGCGGGUGAUGUGGGGGAAGCGAUGAAACUGCGAGGGGCGAUGGAGGCAAGGGGGAUGUUACCGGGUGUGGCUAUGUACAACGCGAUCAUUAGGAAGCUCUGUGAGGAUGGCGAGAUGAAGGAAGUGAACGGGUUGCUUAGCGAAAUGGAUGAGAGGAAGGUGAAGGCUGACCAUGUGACGUGCAACACGUUGAUCAACUCAUACUCCAAGAAGGGGGACAUGCCAUCGGCAUGCAAGGUCAAGACGAGGAUGAUGGAGUCAGGCUUGCAGUUGGAUCAGUUCACUUACAAGGCUCUCAUCCAUGGAUUCAGCAAGGCCAAGCAGCUAGAUGAGGCCAAAGAGGCCUUGUUUGAGAUGAUGGGUGCAGGAUUUUCACCCAAUUAUAGUGUAUUUUCAUGGCUCGUUGAUGGCUUCUACAAGAAGAAUAAUGCAGAUGCAGUGCUACUCCUUCCUGAUGAACUUAUGAAAAGAGGCCUUCCACCAGAUAAAUCAGUGUACAGGUCUCUGAUCCGAAGGCUCUGCAAGAAGGGGCUGGUUGAUCUUGCACAAAAAGUACUUGACCAGAUGCAAGGCAAAGGUCUAGAAGCUGACUGUCUGGUGUAUGCCACACUUGCAUACGCACAGCUGACCGCAGGAAAGCUGGCUGCUGCUUCCGACACAUUGAAUGACAUGGCAAAGAAGCAGCUGUCCGUGACGCCCCAGAUCUACAACUGUCUAUGCACUUCUUAUGGGGACGAGAAGGAGACACUGAACAUGUUCUGGGUUCAUGCCAUCGAGAGAGGCCUGAUUGGGAAGAGUGUGUACAAACUGAUGCACCAAGCAAGGCUGAAAUCAUUGAAUCCUGCAGUUGAGAACGAGGGGCAUGCUCCUGUUUCAAGGCCGGGCUUGCCGGCGUCUGUGAAAUGA